CCUACGGGGGGCAGCAGUGAGGAAUAUUGGUCAAUGGGCGUAAGCCUGAACCAGCCAAGUCGCGUGAGGGAUGAAGGUUCUAUGGAUUGUAAACCUCUUUUAUAAGGGAGUAAAGUGUGGGACGUGUCCUGUUUUGUAUGUAACUUAUGAAUAAGGAUCGGCUAACUCCGUGCCAGCAGCCGCGGUAAUACGGAGGGUGCGAGCGUUAAUCGGAAUUACUGGGCGUAAAGCGCUCGUAGGCGGGAUGUCAAGUCAAGGGUGAAAUCCCCGCGCUCAACGUGGGAACUGCCUUUGAAAUUGGCAAACUGGAGUGUGUGAGAGGAUAGUGGAAUGCCAGGUGUAGGGGUGAAAUGCGUAGAUAUCUGGAAGAACAUCAGUGGCGAAGGCGACUAUCUGGCACAUAACUGACGCUGAGGAGCGAAAGCGUGGGUAGCGAACAGGAUUAGAUACCCCAGUAGUC
rnacentral:rRNA from 1 species